CCUUUUUGACGAACCCGAACGUAAGAAAAGGUCGGUUGGUUCGCACUGGUGGCCAAAUGGUCCAAUUACCUCAGGGAAAAGGGCCUCUGAACCUAGAUUGGCAUCCUCUCUACCUAUAAGUAGAGAGGGUAGAGCCGGAGGCGGUGAGAACCUGCCCCGGAUGUGGGCGUGGCCCUGAGGUAGAACACGGAGCCUCCACCGCGGUGGUUUGGGGAGGCGGAACUGAGAUCUUUUCCUUGAUUAUCAUGUGACGGGUUCUGGAUUUAAUGGAGGAGAAAGCGUGGAAAAGGCCAAGGAUCCAAACUGGCGAGUUUUCUGAUCUUCGCGGCCUUCCCCGCUCUCCGGCCAGCGGCGCUGCCAGUGCACGGCCUUCAACACUCCAACAGCAGCUGUAGUCUGUCGUUCAAAACCUUGUCCUAUAUGAUCUGCAUGGGCUCUUGUCCUGUCUUCAAAGAGCAUCUCACGGGGCUCACUAGUUCGAGAUUUUACUUUAUAUCCUCCACUACAGUAAUUCAUAGCCAUGAGGACAUCUCAUCUAUAUGCAGUCCUAUGAAUCGUCUUAGUGAAUCACCAAACCUAUGGGUAGUCUCCAGGACCUCUGAUGGACACAGGAAAAAAGAAUAUGGCUGAAAAUUCUUUCUGAAGGGUGGUGGUAUUCCAAACAGGACCACUCAGAACACUUGAGAAUACGAAACGAUGAGGAGGAGGCUGCAGGACAGGAUUUUCUGGCGUUGGAGCCUGUGUCACAAAUACGAAUUCUGUGAUCACCUCUAAACCGUCUAAUAAUGAAUCAAGCACCUUUUAGAAGACCAAACCCUUGGCGAUCCCAUUUCCCCCCAUCUCCCUCCGAAGACCAGCACACCUAGGCGGGUACUCUAGACCAUAUUCUAUAAAUCUUGCAGCGCAUUAACUGGGAGAGAGAAACAAUAUAAAAAAUAAAGAGUUUCGGCCAUUCCCCUCGCUGUAACCGAAAUUACAGGCUCCAUUUCCUGUCCCCAAGGGGACUGCAAAAUCGCCUUUUGAGAACGGGACGCCUCCCGCCCCCUCCAGGCUGGCGCCCGCGGCCCCCGCGCUCCCCCUGCCCCGGCCCCGCGGGCGCGAGGAGGUGGCGGGGACCCGGGACGCCCUCCCCUCCCCCUCCCAGCUCCGGUACCCACCUCGCGGCAGCGGCUUCACGUCCCCGUUCUCCUCCCGAGCGGCCCCGCCUGCCCCGCCGAGGCCGUGCCUCCUCCUUUCCUUCUCUCGCUUCUCCUUAGGUCGCCGCGGCUUGGCGUUGGCCGAGGAGGCGGCGGCCGGCAGCAAGAGAUGGUGAGGCUGAGCGUGCAGCAGCGUAGGAGGGACCAGCAGUUUGCGCGGCACCGGCUGAGACGAGGAAGCGGAGGCUGAGGAAGGGACCGCCGAGCCAGCGGAAAAAGAGAAACUGCUCCGAGCAGAGGACGAGGAGGGGACAGCAGACAGCCCGGGAAAGCUCCAAGACGCGGGGCUGCCAUAGCUCUGAGGCGAAGGUGCCGCCAGCGGCUGCAGCUGCCUGCUGUUCCCGCCGCUGCCCCCCUCUCCGUUCAGUCUCCGUGGCGCCUUCUUCUCCUCAGUACGGACCUUCUUGGCCGACAGAGGACCCGGUGGGUCCCGGAAGGAGGGCUGCAAUUUGCCAAACGGUUCUUUCUCCGAGGCGACAGCGGCUGCGGCGGCGGCAGCAGCGCCGUCCACCGGGCUCGGCGGGUCCGCCAUUUUGCGCUCCUGUUGUAUUUACUCUCCUCCGCUCCCGGGCGCGGGGCAGGGGCGGGCCCUCAGCGAGGGGCGGGGGAGGGGUGGAGCGGCCCGGCCAUCGGCAGAGCUCUCUAUUGGACGAGCCUUGCUGAGGGAUCCCUCUGAGAACCAACCAAAGGCGUCAAUCUGGAGCCGAAGAGGCGGUAUCGCCAAGCGGACCAGUUUUGGAGGUCAAAGCUCCGCGGGGCGCGGUUAGUGGCGGAGCAAGCUCUGAGGGGAGGGUCUUUCACUAGUCGCCAGCGUGAACUCUGGUGCCCCGGGAGUGUCCGGAAUGAACCCCCAACUCCGGACCCUCAAACCUGCCCCCACCCAGGCGCGCUCAUAUGUAGUUAGACUUUUUCAUGUAUCACCUUCUCUUCCUUUUCUCCCCCCGGGGUCCUUUUGGUCCCUCCCCGUCUCUUCGCGCGCAGAAAGCCGAAUUUCGCUGAUGCUCAGUCAGAGGAGAAAAUUUUUAUGCGGAAUUCAGUCCUUCCUUCUGAAAGGCAACAGUUACUGGACGGGAGGUACUAAAAAUCAUUUGGUGUCCUGACAAGAUUUGUUACUGUUGCUAAAAUCGUCAACUCCAAUGCUUUAAGGGAGAGAACUUCCUGCAAACCCAGAAUUUUCGGAUUACUUCUAAGCUUGAGGUCAAAAUGAUCAAAUGCCAGCACAGCCUACCACGUGUAGGUGAACAGAGAUUUGCCAUGAUAGAGACAGGAACAAGGUUCUGUAUGCACCAAGGUCCUUCAUCCUACCCAGAACACUCAGUGAAAGCUUCCCAAAGGAAAUGACAUUUGAGCUGAGUUUUAGAAAAUGAUUGGGAGUUCACUGUGCGUUUACAGGAAGCAAAGAGAAUGAGGGCAUUCCAGAAAUAGGAAACAGCAUGUGCAGAGUCGUUGAACGGAGAAUGAGCCUUGCACAUGUGGGAAUCUGCAAAUAGUUCAGACAGGUUGGAAUGCCAGAUACGUUGGGGGUGACAGGAGACAAGGCAGGUAAAGUAUCAGAGGGCAGAGGGUUGGGUGUGUUAAGCCAAAGAGCUUGAUUUUAUCCUUGAGAUGGGUGAGUUAUGUGUAAGCCAGAGAGGCUGCAAGACUUAAUCUGUCAGGGUUCAGAAAGAAAAUAUUACCACUUAUAUAUUUACCUUUGCCUUAUCUUUUUAUUUUCCAAUUAAACUGGUUAUUAUGUAUGUAAUUCCUAAUGCAGUAGUGGACGUAAAUAAUUUAUGAAUAAGUAAAUACACACACGUAUUAUGGUGUGUUAUGGGUUGAAUUUUGUCCUUCCACAAUUCAUGUUGAAGUUCUAACCCCUAGUCUCUCAGAAUAUGACUUUUUUUUUUUGAAAGAUUUUAGUUAUUUAUUUAACAGAGAGGGAACACAAGCAGAGUGAAUGGGAAAGGGAGAGCAGGCUUCCUGCUGAGCAGGGAACCCAAUGCGGGGCUCCAUCCCAGGAUUCUGGGAUCAUGACCUGAACCAAAGGCAGAUGCUUAAUGACUGAGCCACGCAGGCAUCCCUCAGAAUAUGACAUUAUUUAGAAAUAGGGUCCUUGCAGAUGUAGGUAGUUAAGAUGAGAUCACACCAGAGUAGUAUGGGCCCCUAAUCCAAUACAAUUGGUGUCCUUAUAAAAUAGAGCAUAUGACAUAUGAAAAUGAAGGCAGAGAUUGGAUUAAUGCUUCUACAAAUCAAGGAAGUCCAAGAUGGCCAACGUACCCUCAGAAGCUGUGGGAGAAGCAUAAAACAGAUCUUUCUCUCACAGCCGUCUGAAGGAACCAUUCAUGCUGAUACCAUGGUCAUGGAUUCUAGCCUCCAAAAUCGUGAGAUGCUUUUCUGUUGUUAAAGCCAUCCAGUUUGUGGUACUUUGUUAUGGCAGCCUUUGACAGGCGGGGAUACUCACCACUAUACUAACGAGGAGAACCAUGGCAGCCUUUGAAAACUAACACAUGGUGCAUGGUCAGAAAGUUUGGAGACCCGAGUUACAGAAUGAGAGCCAUUGAAGAGUUGGUUUUUUGGGUUUUUUUUGUUUUUUUUUUUAAAGAUUUUUUAUGUAUUUAUUUGAGAGAGAGACAGUGAGAGAGAGCAUGAGCAAGGAGAAGGUCAGAGGGAGAAGCAGACUUCCCAUGGAGCUGGGAGCCUGAUGUGGGACUCGAUCCUGGGACUCCAGGAUCAUGACCUGAGCUGAAGGCAGUCGUCCAACCAACUGAGCCACCCAGGUGCCCCGAAGAGUUGGUUUAUGUUUAAGAGUCCACAUUACAUAUGUCCUGUCUUUAUGUAGUCUCUGUAUUUAAUAAUUUAUUUUAACUUAAAGAGAUUUCUUAGCUUCUCAGUACUUUAUUUCUUAAACCCAGUAUAGUUGGAAAACCAUCUGUUCACAUUUGUGUUUGGUGUAGUUUUUGUUAGAGGAAGAAGGAACUGGGAAAUAUUUGACCUUUAGUUCAAAACAGGGUGGUGAUAAGCAACAGUUUUAGGGAGAAAAAUUUAUGUUUAAGAACCCCAUUAGGCAGGGGCGCCUGGGUGGCUCAGUGGGUUAAGGCCUCUGCUUUCGGCUCAGGUCAUGAUCCCAGGGUCCUGGGAUCGAGCCCCGCAUCGGGCUCUCUGCUCAGCAGGGAGCCUGCUUCCUCCUCUCUCUGAAUGCCUCUCUGCCUACUUGUGAUCUCUGUCUGUCAAAUAAAUAAAUAAAAUCUUUAAAUAUAUAUAUAUAUAUAUAUAUAUAAGAACCCCAUUAGGCAGAAGUGGAGCCAAAAUCAGAAAUAGGGCCCUACCAACAGAAUUCAUAGCUGUGAAUAGGCUGAUCAUCGGUGCAGGGAGGACUGUAGCCCAUGCAUGUAUUAUUCUGGCUAUCUUAAUCUUCAAGUGCUAAAGACAAGCAGUCUUUUUGUACAAGUUACACAUUAGUUAUGUGCCUGAGUUUCCAAAGUAGUAUAACUGAGACAGUGUUCAAGGCCACACCUUAAACUCAAUGUAUGUCUUUGAAACCUGUGUGUGGGUCUGCAAAAUCCAGAAAUCAGCAGUGCAUUAAUUAGUAUAUUACUUAAUAUUAACUAAUAUAUUAAUAUAAAACCAGGUCAGUAAUAUAUUAAUUAACAUAUUAAUAAAUUAUUGUGUUUAUAAACAAAAUAUAUUUACAUAUUAAUACAAUUAACAUAUAUAAAUACUUUUGUAUACUUUUGUUAUUUUAGGUCUUUGUAGGGUAUGAAAUAUUUGAUCAUUUCUGGUCUUAUUUAUGCAAGUCAACUAAAGCAUUUUGAAGUACUAAUACUUUUCUGAAAAUUCAGAUGUAUUUUUAAUAUCUCUGUCAUCCUUUAGACAAAUAGCUGUUGGACUUUUUAAAGUAAUAGAACCCUUUCUUAAACUUCUUUGUGGAACCCCAAUAUGCUAUAACUGCAUUAGCAGUUUACCCAUCAUAGAGGACUGGCCAUUUGUAAAAGCAUACCUUAAUGUUUUAAAUCUUUUUUCUUACAUCUAGUCUGGAAGUUCUAUAUUUUGUGGAUAUAUUUUCAAUAUUCACUGUAAUUUGCUAGCAGAAUGAGAAGAAAUUUAUGUAGGAGAGAAUAAUAAAUAUGCUGCUGACCUCUGAUCAUAGAGCUUGUGCUUGGCAUAGCUUUCCAGUAGUGGAACCACAUUUAUAAGGACCCAUCCGGGGUACCUGGGUGGCUCAGUGGGUUGAAGCUUCUGCUUUCGGCUCAGGUCAUGAUCCCAGAGUCCUAGGAUCGAGCCCUGCAUCGGGCUCUCUGCUCAGUGGGGAGCCUGCUUUCCUUCCUUUCUCUCUGCUUGCCUCUCUGCCUACUUGUGAUCUCUGUCUGUCAAAUAAAUAAAUAAAAUCUUUAAAAAAAAGAAAAGAAGAAGAAUAGCCAAAAUAAUUUAUUUUUUUUUAAAGAUUUUAUUAUUUAUUUGACAGACAGAGAUCACAAGUAGGCAGAGAGAGAGAGGAGGAAGCAGGCUCCCUGCUGAGCAGGGAGCUCGAUGUGGGGCUCGAUCCCAGGACCCUGGGAUCAUGACCUGAGCUGAAGGCAAAGGCUUUAACCCACUGAGCCACCCAGGUGCCCCUAGCCAAAAUAAUUGAAAAGCAGAUCACUGCCCCCUUCUCUUCCCCCUCUCCAUUCUUAAGUCACUUACAGAACUGGUAGAAAGUUACCUACUUUGAGUUCUAGGAUACCCAUCUUCUCACUGCCUUGACUUUGAUAGGACCUGAUCCUUCCCAAUCCUGAGGCACUCCUGACCUCUGCAGAGCAGAGCGGCUGUCCUUUGGCUGUUUCUCCCUCAGCAUAUUCUGUACUAUACUGUCUCUUGCUCUCUUUCUUCAGGAGCUGUUCCUCUCUUCCAGAAAUAUAAGUUCUGUGCCAUACUCUUCAUGUAGUCUUACACCAUUUUUUAAAAAUUCCUUUAGGGGCCCCUGGGUGGCACAUUCUGUAAGGUGUCUGACUCUUGGUUUCAGCUCAGGUCAUGAUCUCAAGGUUGUGGGAUGGAGACAUGGGUUGGGCUCUGUGCCCAGUAGGGAAUCUGCUCAUACUUUUCCCUCUGCUCUGCCACACCCUCUGUGUGUGCAUGCUGUCUCUCUUAAAUAAAUAAAUAAAAUCUUUUUUAAAAAAUAAGAAAUUCUUUUAUUAUCAAUGUAUUGGGGCCUCCUCAAAGGAGAAGGGCUAAAUAUGCACUGUCAGUGAGCCAGCUUGUACCAGAAACAGUAACACAACAUGUAUAAUCAUUUGUACAAGCAUAUCACAUUUGGAAAAGAGAGAAACGUAAACAUCUAUAAUUGUACCACACUAACACAAACCCACUGAUCCAUUUUUUUAUACAUUUAUUCAUUCCUGCAAGUCACCAGAUUAUUUACUAAGUACCUAUUUUAGUAGUAAUCACCCGGCUUUCUAGGGAAUUAAGAUCUAAUAAGGGAAUUGUGAGUCGGUAGAAAUAACCAUGAAAAUACCACUAUUUUGGUUUUUUUUUUUUAAUAUUUUAUUUGAUUAUUUUGACAGAGAGAAAUCACAAAUAGGCAGAGAGGCAGGCAGAGAGAGAGGAAGGGAAGCAGGCCCCCUGCUGAGCAGAGAGGCCAACGCGGGACUCGAUCCCAGAACCCUGAGAUCAUGACCUGAGCCGAAGGCAGCGGCUUAACCCACUGAGCCACCCAGGCGCCCCUAUUUUGGUAUUUUUUAUUGGAUCCUAAUCUUAUUAUGUCUUUUUAGUACAUUGCAACUAUACGGUCUAUUCAAUCUUACAUUCUUUAUUUUACUUUUAAUUUACCUCACAGUGGUAGUGACAAGAGAGGUGCAAAACUGUUUAUUCUUGCCUGUGAAGAAUGAGAUUCUGUUAUCUAUUUUUUUAAAUAUAUUAUUUAAAAGAUUUUAUCUAUUUAUGGCAGAGAGAGAUAGCAAGAGAAGGAACACAAGCACAGGGGAGCUGGAGAGGGAGAAGUAGGCUCCCCACUGAGCAGGGAGCCCGAUAUGGAGCUCAAUAUGGGUUUCAAUCCCAGGACACCAGGAUCAAGACCCGAGCUGAAGGCAGAUACCUAACGACUGAGCCACCCAGGUGUCCCAGGAUUCUGUUAUCUUUAACCUGAGUCUGUAGUUCACAUAGCAGGCUCUGUUCCUUUUCUCCUUCACAGCGCCUAUCCCUAGCUGCACUGUUUGUCUGCCUUUCAACUGGGUCAUCAGCUGUGGGCAGACAGGUACUUCUUACUGCCCAGUAGUCUUCAGUGAAGGUGCCAGUAGAGCUCACUCUUGCCAAAUUGGGGGGUGGGGCAGAAUAGGCACCAGUCUGGGAAAAGGAUCAGCCCUGGUCUAUCUACUUCAGUUCCUUACAGAUAAGCAUGCGAACAGAUGACAGAGGUCUCAUGACUUAAGCUGUAAGACAGUGAUCCUGUGGGCAUUUCCUUGUUUUCUGACUUGAUUCUUCUUGCCUUAUUUCUCCCUCCCUCUCUUCCUUCCUUUCACAGUCUUCAUCUUUUACCUCUUCUCCUCCCAGAUUUUCACAAAAGACUGCUUGUUUUUUGUUGUUUUUAUUUUUUUUUUUCUUCCUGAAAUGCCACCUCUCCCCAUGGAAAAAAUAAAGGCCUAGUUCAUCUGAUCCUUUCCUGUGUCUUCCAGAUUUCAUAGACUCUGGGCCGCCUGGGUGGCUCAGGUGGUUAAGCGUCUGCCUUUGGCUCAGGUCAUGAUCCCAGGGUCCUGGGAUGGAGAGCCCUGCUUUGGGCGCUCUGCUCAGCAGAGAGCCUGCUUCUCCCUCUCCCUUUCCUGCUUCCCCUGCUUGCACAUGCUCUCUAUGUCAAAUAAAUGAAAGCUUAAAAACAAACAAAUUUCAUAGUGUCAGGUAUCCAUUUGAGGUUUAGAGCUUUAGCCCUUACCUGGUUUCUGCUCUCUGUGUAGUUACGAUCAUAUUUUAUUUUAUUUUAUUUUUUAAAAGGUUUUAUUUAUUUAUUUGACAGAAAGAGACAGCGAGAGAGGGAACACAGCAGGGGAGUGGGAGAGGGAGAAGCAGGCCUCCUGCCGAGCAAUGAGCCCAAUAUGGGGCUCGAUCCCAGGACCCUGAGAUCAUGACCUAAGCCAAAGGCAGACACUUAACAACUGAGCCACCCACAAUCAUAUUUUAAUAUAACUAAAUCACACCCCAGUAUUUUUUGAUUCAGUGGUUUUUAGCAUAUUCACAAAGUUGUGCGACUGCUGCCACAAUCUGAUUUCAGAACUUUUUCAUCACCCCAGAUAGAAACCAUACACCCAUCAGCAGUAACUCCUUAUUUCCCCUACUCUUCUGCCAGCCCUAGUUAACUACUCAUCUACUCUCCGUCUCUGUAGAUGUCAUUCCUACUGUUUGCAGAGAGGCCAGGUACAGAUGGGGAGAAAAGUGGGCCCUGGUUCAGAAGUGAGCUCCUACUUCUGUUCUCUGAUUCUCCACCAUCCCCACAACUUGAAGUUAAAUUUCUUGCUCCUUUGAAGAUGUUCUUCCAAAGAUUUCCACCUGAUCUCCAAAAGAUAAUCUUAUAUAAUAUAUGUAAAUAUAAAUGUAUUCCUAAAUUUAAUCUUACUUCAUAACUUUAAUCUUUUUUCCUAUGAAUGAGUCAUCUAGUGCACACACAUGCACACACACUCCCUGGCCCUGACAUUUCACAGCCUUCUUGUCUGACCAGGCAGUGAAGGACAUUGUGCCUCCAACACUGUGCCCUAAUUCUUUGAAGAACACCUAGGUUCUUCAUAGCAGGCUGCCAUAUCUCAUUCUGGCUGAUUUCAGGUGAGAUGAUCUCAAAAUUACUAGGUAACAGUAAAGAGUGGGAGCCAGUCUAAUGAACCAUGGGGAAUGACUUGGGGAAAGCACCCUUCUCUGUCAUGUGUACAACCAGAAUCCACCUGGGAGAGACAAAGAGGAGUGGCAGGUUGGAGUUUGAAGGCUCCUUAGCCCUUGCCUUUUCCAGCUAGAGUAUCUUAGCCCUUGCCUUCCCACCCCUUGGGAGUGGUCCUUUGUGAUGUCUAAGCUCCCUGGGGCCACCAUUGGCUGUGGUGAGCGCCCUGCCCUGCUGACCAAACAAAGCUGAGAGGGCGUGAACCCUCAGUGUCUCUGGAGAGGUAUAUAUACAGAGGACAGGACUCCUGGAGUAGACACCAGAGAAGCUGCAACAUGGCAAAAGUGGUAGAGAAAUCAUGGGAGUCACAAACCACAAACACCAAGCGGUGGAGGAAGAGGAAGAACCAGUCUCGGUCCAGAUCAAGAGGCGCUAGCAAGGUGCUAAAGAUCUACAAGAAGGUAAAAAGAUCAUUUCACAUGAGUUCAAGAAAAAAAUACUCUCCUAAAGUUAUAACCACUUCCAGAAGAAAGAAGAGGGCAAGAAGGGCCCACAAGUUUCAGCCGUUGCCGUAGGCUGAGAGCCAAAAGCAGCCAGGCCAGACCCAGCAGACGCUAUGGAGCAACACCACUCCAAGAUGACCAUGCAAACAACCCCUACAAAGCAAGCUUCUGAGACCUCAGACAGUCUGCAUCUAGGAUCCUGGCUGUGGGGAAAUGGCCAACUGCAGAGAGACCUACUUGGAUCCUAAUGUGGAACACAGAACACAAAUGGAGGUGAUCAAAAUAAAAUCAACAGGGUGGGAGAAGCCCCUCCAAAAAAUAAAAUUAGGCACUCUGCACAGCAAUGAGUUGUGUUGCAUUAGUGCUUGAGAUCAUUCCUCAGAAUGAGAGUGUGAAAUGACAGAGAAGCUGAGCGUCUUUGCUGUAAACCAAGUCCCUGGUCCCAUGAGAUCUACCUGAGAAGAUGUGCAUACACCUUCUGAGGGGUGGAAAAAUGUCUUUCCACCACAUUCUCUAUUUCUGGCAGACGGGUUUAACAACUCCCUUACUUGGUAGUCAACAUUCACUUUAAAUGUUGGUGAAAUUGGGAGAACACAGCAAUGUCCUUGCUCUCUCUAAGAGGCUGAAAGGCAAUGGGGAAGGGAAAGGGGGGCAAAGAGAAAGCAGAAAGCCAUGAUGUCCCCAGGAGGCUCUGACUUUGUCAGUCUUGAUGCAGAACUGAACUGCUCUGGUCACUUGGGAAUGAUUCAGUUGGAUGUUGAAGGUCCCUAGGCUUCAUUGGCUGCCUCAUUCUGUGUUAACUAGUGUUGAGUUAUAUCAAAGGACAGGAGCACCAGGUGUAGCCACCAGAAGAGGGUACUCAUGUGACCACAUCACACAGGGGCAUCACAGAUCCCCAGCUCAGUUCUCAAUCUGCCUACCUCCCCCCCCAUUAGUUGUUCAUCCCCUUUGAUGCCCAGAAUGGAGCACUCACUCUCUGUGCCCUGCGGAGGCAGAAAUGGUUGGGUUAAAACAAUGACCCUCAAAAAAUCAUGACCCCAAGAGAAUGUGGAAAAACUGUACACCUUUUUAUACAAUUUUAAGUUGACAUCCCCAAAUUUUUACCAUGAGUUUAAAUAUUUACUGAGGAUAUAAUUUCUAACAUUAUAAAUAUUGAUAUUUAAAAUAAAACUUACAUUAGACUUUUUAA